rnacentral:rRNA from 1 species
GAGCACGUAGGUGGGUUUGUAAGUCAGAUGUGAAAGCCUUCUGUUCAACGGGAGAAUUGCAUCUGAAACUACAGACCUCGAGUAUAGGAGGGGAGAAUGGAACUUCUGGUGGAGCGGUGAAAUGCGUAGAUAUCAGAAGGAACGCCGGCGGCAAAAGCGACUCUCUGGCCUAUAACUGACACUGAGUGUGCGAAAGCUAGGGGAGCAAACGGGAUUAGAUACCCCGGUAGUCCUAGCCGUAAACGUUGGGCACUAAGUAGAGGGG